GGUUGAAACAGCUUUCCAGUGACUGUCACACACUUCAGAGGUGUCCUGACGUGUAAGGAGAGACGAGCAGGAGGAAUGGGGGAAGAACAAGCCCAGGGAUCUGUUGUCUUUUUAGAAGCCUCAGCCAUGACUGAUGAACUCAGCAUAAAGCCACUGAAUGAAGGGAAAAGAGACUCAGACAAAGAAUCUAUGUUAAAUGUGACCAAAAAUUCUGAAGGACAGUUUAACCUUGAGGCUGCAAUUAAAAAUGUUGACACAAUGUCCAAUGAGUUGAAGAAAAUAAAUGUGGAAAGCCAGCUACUGCUUUGUGACCUGAUUUUGAAUUUCAAUCAUCCUACGAAGGCCAAAGAUUUAAGAGAAGCUGAAGAAAAGACUUGGAGUUUGACUGAUUAAAUAACAUCCAUUUUCAUGUACUGCCUUCUAUUAAUACUGCUGAAGCUGCUUCUUCUUUCUUCUUUCUUCUAAUUAAGUUUGAACUGUAUAAUGACAGCAUGGUUUCCUGCAGGUAGACUAUUUUUAUUUUAAGCUAAACAUGUGGAAUGGAAAAAAACCUAGGUUAUUGGUUACGAGAGUGGUUUUUUCAACCCACAUUUCCCAAAUUAAGCCCACUAGGGCUGGAAAAACUGAUGUAAUGAAUUAAAAAGGUCAGGAAACUGGGCAUGAAGUUUCUCAUGUGGUUUUCUCCUUUUAAACAAAAACGUGUUGGAGCAGUAGCAAAGAUUUGAAAUUUACUUCAAGUCACUGUCUCUUGUCUCAGUUGUGCCUGGGGAAACAGGAUAAGAAACUGCCAGUGAAGGAGGAACUGCAGUUUGUGUUUUGAGCUGCCUUCCUCGUCUUAAAAAUGUUGCUGAGGAAGGGGUCAAAGAGCAGAUUUCUUCUGGAAAACCAAAACUGCUUUCCAUUCCAGUUUCUGUAAUGACUCUCUAAUGCAACUAGCUACAAAAAUAGGGAGGAGAUUGUGGUUUCAAUGCUCUACCCUGAAAUCUUGUUGGCCCAACAUUUGCACAGCCACUAUUUUCAUGUAGUUCACUACAAUAAAUAUUCAAUCAUACUUUACUUGGGGACGUAUUUGAAUGUUGAGAUGUAGCUUUAUUCUUAGACCAAAUAUAUUUCUCUGAAUAAUCCAAUAGAGAUUAAUUCUACUUUUAAAAAAUAUGCAGUGUUAGAAUUUGUUAUGCUGGUUUAUGUUUUAUUUCUCUUUCGCCGGUGAGAUGAUUUAAAAUCAAUAAAACACAAUUCCAUAG